rfam:Triticum urartu cultivar G1812 contig351337, whole genome shotgun sequence.
UAGAUACUUCCUUCGUCCGGAAAUACUUUUUAUCAAAAUAAAUAAAAGGAGAUGUAUCUAGAUGUAUUUUAGUUCUAGAUACACCUCUUUUUGUCCAUUUUGAUGACAAAUAUUUUUAGAUGGAGGGAGUAUUUG